rnacentral:rRNA from 1 species
UACGUAGGGGGCAAGCGUUGUCCGGAUUUAUUGGGCGUAAAGCGCUCGCAGGUGGUUCGUCGCGUCGUGCGUGAAAGACCCCGGCUCAACUGGGGGCUGUCGUGCGAUACGGGCGAACUGGAGGCCAGUAGGGGGAUGCGGAAUUCCGGGUGUAGUGGUGGAAUGCGUAGAGAUCCGGAGGAACACCAGCGGCGAAGGCGGCAUCCUGGACUGGUCCUGACACUCAUGAGCGAAAGCGUGGGGAGCGAGUCCGG